rnacentral:lncRNA from 1 species
GUGACGUUCCCUACGCGGUCGGGCGUUGGGUUUCGCGGCGCUCGCCGCAUUGGUUGUUCAGUACCUUCUGUCCGGUUGAGGUUGUCAAGUCGGACCAAAUAGGUUGUUUCUUUGCAGUUUCCAACAUGGCAGGGAAGUUUAAUAGACAUGGAUAAGAAGUCUGCUCCCAGAAAUCCUGAAGAUGCCAAGGCUGGCAAAUAUGAAGGUAAACACAAACGAAAGAAAAAAAGAAAGCAAAACCAAAACCACCACCGAUCCCGACAUAGAUCAGUGACAUCUUUUUCUUCAGAUGAUCGUAUGUUUCCUUCUUCCUCAUCAUCAUCUUCAGGAAGCCAGACGGAUUCGAGUAUUGAAGAUGCUACCAAGGGAAAAAUUAAGAAGAAGAGAAGAGAGAAAACAAAUAAAUGGAGGGAAAAAAGAAAG